rnacentral:rRNA from 1 species
GACGAACGCUGGCGGCGUGCCUAAUACAUGCAAGUAGAACGCUGAAGGAGGAGCUUGCUUCUCUGGAUGAGUUGCGAACGGGUGAGUAACGCGUAGGUAACCUGCCUUGUAGCGGGGGAUAACUAUUGGAAACGAUAGCUAAUACCGCAUAAGAGUAGAUGUUGCAUGACAUUUGCUUAAAAGGUGCAAUUGCAUCACUACCAGAUGGACCUGCGUUGUAUUAGCUAGUUGGUGGGGUAACGGCUCACCAAGGCGACGAUACAUAGCCGACCUGAGAGGGUGAUCGGCCACACUGGGACUGAGACACGGCCCAGACUCCUACGGGAGGCAGCAGUAGGGAAUCUUCGGCAAUGGACGGAAGUCUGACCGAGCAACGCCGCGUGAGUGAAGAAGGUUUUCGGAUCGUAAAGCUCUGUUGUAAGAGAAGAAAGAGUGUGAGAGUGGAAAGUUCACACUGUGACGGUAUCUUACCAGAAAGGGGCGGCUAACUACGUG